AAUGGGUCAGCGACUUAUAUUCUGUAGCAAGGUUAACCGAAUAGGGGAGCCGAAGGGAAACCGAGUCUUAACUGGGCGUUAAGUUGCAGGGUAUAGACCCGAAACCCGGUGAUCUAGCCAUGGGCAGGUUGAAGGUUGGGUAACACUAACUGGAGGACCGAACCGACUAAUGUUGAAAAAUUAGCGGAUGACUUGUGGCUGGGGGUGAAAGGCCAAUCAAACCGGGAGAUAGCUGGUUCUCCCCGAAAGCUAUUUAGGUAGCGCCUCGUGAAUUCAUCUCCGGGGGUAGAGCACUGUUUCGGCAAGGGGGUCAUCCCGACUUACCAACCCGAUGCAAACUGCGAAUACCGGAGAAUGUUAUCACGGGAGACACACGGCGGGUGCUAACGUCCGUCGUGAAGAGGGAAACAACCCAGACCGCCAGCUAAGGUCCCAAAGUCAUGGUUAAGUGGGAAACGAUGUGGGAAGGCCCAGACAGCCAGGAUGUUGGCUUAGAAGCAGCCAUCAUUUAAAGAAAGCGUAAUAGCUCACUGGUCGAGUCGGCCUGCGCGGAAGAUGUAACGGGGCUAAACCAUGCACCGAAGCUGCGGCAGCGACGCUUAUGCGUUGUUGGGUAGGGGAGCGUUCUGUAAGCCUGUGAAGGUGUGCUGUGAGGCAUGCUGGAGGUAUCAGAAGUGCGAAUGCUGACAUAAGUAACGAUAAAGCGGGUGAAAAGCCCGCUCGCCGGAAGACCAAGGGUUCCUGUCCAACGUUAAUCGGGGCAGGGUGAGUCGACCCCUAAGGCGAGGCCGAAAGGCGUAGUCGAUGGGAAACAGGUUAAUAUUCCUGUACUUGGUGUUACUGCGAAGGGGGGACGGAGAAGGCUAUGUUGGCCGGGCGACGGUUGUCCCGGUUUAAGCGUGUAGGCUGGUUUUCCAGGCAAAUCCGGAAAAUCAAGGCUGAGGCGUGAUGACGAGGCACUACGGUGCUGAAGCAACAAAUGCCCUGCUUCCAGGAAAAGCCUCUAAGCAUCAGGUAACAUCAAAUCGUACCCCAAACCGACACAGGUGGUCAGGUAGAGAAUACCAAGGCGCUUGAGAGAACUCGGGUGAAGGAACUAGGCAAAAUGGUGCCGUAACUUCGGGAGAAGGCACGCUGAUAUGUAGGUGAGGUCCCUCGCGGAUGGAGCUGAAAUCAGUCGAAGAUACCAGCUGGCUGCAACUGUUUAUUAAAAACACAGCACUGUGCAAACACGAAAGUGGACGUAUACGGUGUGACGCCUGCCCGGUGCCGGAAGGUUAAUUGAUGGGGUUAGCGGUAACGCGAAGCUCUUGAUCGAAGCCCCGGUAAACGGCGGCCGUAACUAUAACGGUCCUAAGGUAGCGAAAUUCCUUGUCGGGUAAGUUCCGACCUGCACGAAUGGCGUAAUGAUGGCCAGGCUGUCUCCACCCGAGACUCAGUGAAAUUGAACUCGCUGUGAAGAUGCAGUGUACCCGCGGCAAGACGGAAAGACCCCGUGAACCUUUACUAUAGCUUGACACUGAACAUUGAGCCUUGAUGUGUAGGAUAGGUGGGAGGCUUUGAAGUGUGGACGCCAGUCUGCAUGGAGCCGGCCUUGAAAUACCACCCUUUAAUGUUUGAUGUUCUAACGUUGGCCCCUGAUCGGGGUUGCGGACAGUGUCUGGUGGGUAGUUUGACUGGGGCGGUCUCCUCCUAAAGAGUAACGGAGGAGCACGAAGGUUGGCUAAUCCUGGUCGGACAUCAGGAGGUUAGUGCAAUGGCAUAAGCCAGCUUGACUGCGAGCGUGACGGCGCGAGCAGGUGCGAAAGCAGGUCAUAGUGAUCCGGUGGUUCUGAAUGGAAGGGCCAUCGCUCAACGGAUAAAAGGUACUCCGGGGAUAACAGGCUGAUACCGCCCAAGAGUUCAUAUCGACGGCGGUGUUUGGCACCUCGAUGUCGGCUCAUCACAUCCUGGGGCUGAAGUAGGUCCCAAGGGUAUGGCUGUUCGCCAUUUAAAGUGGUACGCGAGCUGGGUUUAGAACGUCGUGAGACAGUUCGGUCCCUAUCUGCCGUGGGCGCUGGAGAACUGAGGGGGGCUGCUCCUAGUACGAGAGGACCGGAGUGGACGCAUCACUGGUGUUCGGGUUGUCAUGCCAAUGG
rnacentral:rRNA from 1 species